AGCUAACAGAGGUCUUUCAGAAUUUUUCUAGCAGCUUUUCUGACUUUGGUCAGAAAACUUA
ensembl:snRNA LOC120101223 U7 small nuclear RNA